GAAGUUUUGUGAAUUAUUGAAAUAACCGCCAGGGUUUAGCUGUACAAUUUAUUAUUGAUUUGCGAUGUUGUAAGCGACAAUUUCCAACGACGAUUCGUAACGCAACGUGUUGCCCAACCAAUCAAAUUUCGUGUGACGUCAUUUGUAGAGUCCUUUACAACCAACUCAUCUGUAAUACAGUAAUAGCUUGUUGUAAUAACAUUGAUAUUGUAAUGUUUUUAAAUAUACUGGAACAAAACCAAUUCAACGUCCUGAAAUGAGAGCAUAGUACAAAACAUGGACUGGAC